AACCUGGUUGAUCCUGCCAGUAGUCAUAUGCUUGUCUCAAAGAUUAAGCCAUGCAUGUCUAAGUAUAAACAACUUUAUACUGUGAAACUGCGAAAGGCUCAUUAAAUCAGUUAUAGUUUAUUUGAUAGUAAAAUACUACAUGGAUAACCGUGGUAAUUCUAGAGCUAAUACAUGCGACAAGGCCCGACGCAAGAAGGGCUGUAUUUAUUAGAUACAAAGCCAACAAUCGUGGUGAUUCAAAAUAACUUAGCUGACCGUUUUCGGACGGUGCAUCAUUCAAAUUUCUGCCCUAUCAACUUUCGAUGGUAAGGUAUUGGCUUACCAUGGUGACAACGGGUAACGGGGAAUUAGGGUUCGAUUCCGGAGAGGGGGCCUGAGAAAUGGCCACCACUUCUAAGGAAGGCAGCAGGCGCGCAAAUUACCCAAUCCUGACACAGGGAGGUAGUGACAAUAAAUACCAAUAUAGGGCGUUUACGCUUUGUAAUUGGAAUGAGAACAAUGUAAAAAACUUAUCGAGAACCAAUUGGAGGGCAAGUCUGGUGCCAGCAGCCGCGGUAAUUCCAGCUCCAAUAGCGUAUAUUAAAGUUGUUGCAGUUAAAAAGCUCGUAGUUGGAUUUCUGGUGUCAAGUUUGUUCCAAUUCUGGGGGGACUUGUUUUCUUUCACUUUGAGAGGAGGCGGGGCUUCCCGUGGAGCAGUGACUUGGUAUCAUCCUCUCGGGGACGGCACAUGUCCUUUGUUGGGUGUGUGUUUUUGGACCCGGGAUCUUUACUUUGAAAAAAUUAGAGUGUUCAAAGCAGGCCUUCGCUUGAAUACAUUAGCAUGGAAUAAUAGAAUAGGACUUUGGUUCUGUUUUGUUGGUUUAUAGGACCGAAGUAAUGAUUAAUAGGGAUAGUUGGGGGCAUUAGUAUUUAAUUGUCAGAGGUGAAAUUCUUGGAUUUAUGAAAGACUAACAUCUGCGAAAGCAUUUGCCAAGGAUGUUUUCAUUAAUCAAGAACGAAAGUUAGGGGAUCGAAGACGAUCAGAUACCGUCGUAGUCUUAACCAUAAACUAUGCCGACUAGGGAUCGGUGGGUUCAACAAUUUUAGGCCCAUCGGCACCUUAUGGGAAACCAAAGUUUUUGGGUUCCGGGGGGAGUUAACGUGUUUCUCUCUUUCAUUUUCUUUCCUUUUUUUGCUUUUCUUUUCUUUCUUUCUUUCUUUCUUUCUUUGCGCCCUUUUUUUCCCCCCCUUGCUUUUUAUUUUUUUCCAACAAGAAAAAAAUAAAAUAAAGGCGAGGGGAGAGGUGGGAGUCGAGAGUGGAGAGAGAGAGAGAGAGAGAGAGGGAGAUGGGAGAGAAGGUGAAAGGUGUUAAGGGAAAUAUAGGAGGCCCCGGGACUUUUUCUAUUUUAAUUGUCCUCCGAGAAAGACCAGCUCCAAAUAGUUUAUCAGUAAUGAUAAGCUAGUAAGAAAAGAAAACGACUAAAGAUUUUCUUUUUUUGCAACACUGUCAAAGUGCGGGAAAGCCCUGUUUUUUUCAAUAAGCAAAUUGAUUUAUUGAAGAAUGAGAACCUUUUGAAUACCGCGGCUCUGUUGAAAAAUAGAGUGCAGCAGCAGGUGUAAUGGCCUGUGGAUGGUAAAAACUUCAAAGGACUUGGGGUGAUCUGCAGCCAAGCUCGUAGCCCCCUUUUUUUUUUUUCUUAUAAAAGAAAGAGGGUCGAGUGCAGUUAAGAGACUAGACGGCAGUGGGUGAGUGAACUUGAUGAAUGUAUUAUAAGGAAUGUUAUAAUACAAACAAAAAGCACUUGCUUAAGGUAUAGUCCAUUUUGGUUUUGAAAAAAACCAUAAUUUUUCCUUUUUUUUUUUUAAUUAUUGAAAAAAAAAACAGCAACAACAACAACAAAUGAUGGUGCAAGGCUGAAACUUAAAGGAAUUGACGGAAGGGCACCACCAGGAGUGGAGCCUGCGGCUUAAUUUGACUCAACACGGGAAAACUCACCAGGUCCAGACAUAGGAAGGAUUGACAGAUUGAGAGCUCUUUCUUGAUUCUAUGGUUGGUGGUGCAUGGCCGUUCUUAGUUGGUGGAGUGAUUUGUCUGGUUAAUUCCGUUAACGAACGAGACCUUAACCUGCUAAAUAGAGUUGCGAUUCUCGAAUCGUAGACUACUUCUUAGAGGGACUAUCGGCGUUUAGUCGGUGGAAGUUUGAGGCAAUAACAGGUCUGUGAUGCCCUUAGAUGUUCUGGGCUGCACGCGCGCUACACUGACGAGAGCAACGAGUGUUCCUUGCCCUGGAAAGGGUGGGUAAUCUUUUGAAAUCUCGUCGUGAUGGGGAUAGAUCUUUGUAAUUAUCGAUCUUGAACGAGGAAUUCCUAGUAAGCGCGAUUCAUCAAAUCGCGUUGAUUACGUCCCUGCCCUUUGUACACACCGCCCGUCGCUACUACCGAUUGAAUGGUUUAGUGAGGCCUCGGGAUUGACGAAUGGGAGAUCAGCAAUGAUUCCCCUAUCGCUCGAGAACUUGGUCAAACUUGAUCAUUUAGAGGAAGUAAAAGUCGUAACAAGG
rnacentral:rRNA from 1 species